rnacentral:rRNA from 1 species
UCAGAACCCACCAAACCAAACGAGCCCAUUUAUAACUAUAUACCAAGUCGAUACUAGAAUUAGUAACAAGAAAACAAGAUUUUCUCAAAGGCCAAGCUGUAAGUCAGACCGGACCCAACACUAACAACUACCGACCCAAACGACUAUGGCAUUAAUAUUAACAAACGAGAAGCCCACUAGCCUAACCCCACCGUUAACCCGACACAGGAGCGCAUUCACGAAAGAUUUAAAGAUAAAGAAGGAACUAGGCAAACAAUCAAGGUCCCGCCUGUUUACCAAAAACAUCGUCUCUAGCAAACAUCACAUACAUUAGAGAUACUGCCUGCCCAGUGAUAUUGAUUUAACGGCCGCGGUAUU